rnacentral:rRNA from 1 species
GACGAACGCUGGCGGCGUGCCUAAUACAUGCAAGUAGAACGCUGAAGGAGGAGCUUGCUUCUCUGGAUGAGUUGCGAACGGGUGAGUAACGCGUAGGUAACCUGCCUGGUAGCGGGGGAUAACUAUUGGAAACGAUAGCUAAUACCGCAUAAGAGUAGAUGUCGCAUGACAUUUGCUUAAAAGGUGCAAUUGCAUCACUACCAGAUGGACCUGCGUUGUAUUAGCUAGUUGGUGAGGUAACGGCUCACCAAGGCAACGAUACAUAGCCGACCUGAGAGGGUGAUCGGCCACACUGGGACUGAGACACGGCCCAGACUCCUACGGGAGGCAGCAGUAGGGAAUCUUCGGCAAUGGACGGAAGGCUGACCGAGCAACGCCGCGUGAGUGAAGAAGGUUUUCGGAUCGUAAAGAUCUGUUGUAAGAGAAGAACGAGUGUGAGAGUGGAAAGUUCACACUGUGACGGUAUCUUACCAGAAAGGGACGGCUAACUACGUG